rnacentral:rRNA from 1 species
AGUGAACGCUGGCGGUAGGCCUAACACAUGCAAGUCGAACGGCAGCACAGUAAGAGCUUGCUCUUACGGGUGGCGAGUGGCGGACGGGUGAGGAAUACAUCGGAAUCUACUUUUUCGUGGGGGAUAACGUAGGGAAACUUACGCUAAUACCGCAUACGACCUACGGGUGAAAGCAGGGGAGCUUCGGACCUUGCGCGAUUGAAUGAGCCGAUGUCGGAUUAGCUAGUUGGCGGGGUAAAGGCCCACCAAGGCGACGAUCCGUAGCUGGUCUGAGAGGAUGAUCAGCCACACUGGAACUGAGACACGGUCCAGUCUCCUACGGGAGGCAGCAGUGGGGAAUAUUGGACAAUGGGCGCAAGCCUGAUCCAGCCAUACCGCGUGGGUGAAGAAGGCCUUCGGGUUGUAAAGCCCUUUUGUUGGGAAAGAAAAGCAGCAGGUUAAUACCCCGCUGUUCUGACGGUACCCAAAGAAUAAGCACCGGCUAACUUCGUG